GACCAGACUCCUACGGGAGGCAGCAGUGGGGAAUAUUGCACAAUGGGGGAAACCCUGAUGCAGCGACGCCGCGUGAGUGAAGAAGUAUUUCGGUAUGUAAAGCUCUAUCAGCAGGGAAGAAAAUGACGGUACCUGACUAAGAAGCCCCGGCUAACUACGUGCCAGCAGCCGCGGUAAUACGUAGGGGGCAAGCGUUAUCCGGAUUUACUGGGUGUAAAGGGAGCGUAGACGGCAUGGCAAGUCAGAUGUGAAAGCCCGGGGCUCAACCCCGGGACUGCAUUUGAAACUGUCAGGCUGGAGUGCAGGAGAGGUAAGAGGAAUUCCUAGUGUAGCGGUGAAAUGCGUAGAUAUUAGGAGGGACACCAGUGGCGAAGGCGUCUUACUGGACCGAAACUGACGUUGAGGCUCGAAAGCGUGGGGAGCAAACAGGAUUAGAUACCCCCGUA
rnacentral:rRNA from 1 species